CAACUUAAAGAUGCAGCCAACUACAUUAUUACCUUUAAUGCAGAUUCUGUGGCCACGUUAUGGUUGCCCGUAAAUGAUGCAUCCGAAUUAAGGCCCGCCUCUUCGACGAGUGAUCCCAGCUCCCCUUCCCCAGACUGCCUUGAGCUGCCUGAUGCCUGCUACGAACCAGUUUUGAUCGACACAUCCGACGAGGUACCUUUGGAAUGCAUAGAUGAAUUGGAGCAGAAUGAAGAGAAUGCUGACAGAAAAUUGCAAGCAACAGAAGAAGAUACUUGAAGAGCGAGGUGGAAAAGACACUGUUGAAGAAAAGAAUCUGACACCUUUUCAGCGAUGAUGAGAUGUCGCCAUCAUCACUGGAGUGGUUGUCAACUUGGAAGUCAUGGUGAGAAGCUAACACACUUGUCAAGUCACUGACGCUGCGGCUGACAUGUGGGACACAGCUGCAGCCUCCCCAGGGAAUAUUGUUUUCCUUCGCUCUCGGAGCAUACCUUGCAAAGACAAAUUGAGCAUACAAAGUUUCGAUUUGGACUGCUUUCUAAUAUAUUGGAACCUCUCAAGGUAAAUGUUAAUAUUUCACAAGGUGACAUAUUGUGAGUUUUCCUGGUUCAUAUAUCUCUUUGCCUGGUUGACUUAUAGAGUUAAGGUACACGAAAUUCUCUACAUUUCAUUUGGUGGUAAGCAGCCAAUGUGUGAAGCAUGUAUAUCCAAAUCUUUCGCUAUGCCUCUGUUUUCUUUUCAUCUUCGUCCAUUUGCGCUGUUGUUAGUUUACGUCCAGUCAUUCCAAAUAUUGAUUUCCAUUCUACAGAUCAAUCUCAUGAAGCCAGAGGAAUGCCAUGCAGUUCUGCUGCUAGAUGUGAUGCAAAUCAUGUAGUGUCUCAUGUAUGACUGUUCGUGCUGUGAUAUCUUGGGUGCAACCACACCGCCUCUUUCCGUUGGUUCGUUGCUUUAUUGCUUGGCAACACACAGCUUGGUAUUCAUGCUUGCAUGUCCUUCCACUAUAUAGAAGCAUGCCAUUGAAUAUCAGCUGACUGGCAACUUGAUUCACGCUGCCAGCUUUAAAGCCAGAGUAGCUGAGCUAAUUACUGCAUCCUAGUCAAUCAGCAGCAAUAUUCAUGUUGUUGUGUGAAACAUGGGCAGCACUUUGGAAGCUCUGCGGUAUGAUGGUCAUUAAGCACAGCAGGCUGCAAACCAGUCGCCGUCACCCCUUUGGCCCGCAGAGAAAGCUUUGGGGUAAGGCCAGUGUUCAAUGUUGGUGUAUGGCCACUUGUUCAAAAAUAUGAGAAAUCAUUUAGCUAAAGAAGCAGGUCGUCUACCUAGAAAGUGUAAAGAAACACGAUUUGCUGACGAGCUACGUGAACAUCCGAUUUUUUAAAGGCCCUUGUGAGGCAUGAUGGCAAAGCUAGCGCUGCACUUGAACACUUCUGUUCUUGAUUCCAAUCAUUACAGUAAAAGGACAGUAGGCCUGUCUUUUCUGUCCUUUUUGAUAACAAUCAAUACUGUUGCAUGGUUCAUCAAAACCAUAUUUAUACUCCAUCUCAGAAGUACCUUCCAGCACUGUGGAAGCUGCAGGCCUUCUUAGCCAACGGGAAAUGCGAAAACCCCUCAAGAUGUAUUCAUCCAUGUCGUGUUGUCUGCUCGUCGUCUGCUGGGCGUCUCUCUGGCAUCGGCUCGCCUGCUUUUUCGGUACUUGCUCUCCGCAGUUGACAUAGGUUGUUUUCACGCCUGAAAAUGUAAAUAAAUAAAUAAGGCUAAUAACUCCCCCCGCCCCACCCCCAUCUACACGUAGUGUGGCUAUUUUAACGUUGCGUAUAUUACAGCAUUUGCGAAGUGUGUAUUAUUAUAUCUUCCAACUCAAGUCGCCAAGGCUCAGUUAUGGUACUGCCCAAAGUAGCUUGAUACUGACGAUCUGACAGCUCAAUAUUCAGUUCCCGUUGCAGUUUGUGGGUACCUCAAUCUGUAACGUACUGUGCGUGCCCUCAGUUGAGCAAUAAGUAAAUACACAAAACAUGCUUUUUAACGUGAAAUUGUGCUGCAGUGUUUAUUGCAUAACUGCUAAAGAAAAUGUUUUGGGAUAGUUUUUUCAACUUUUAUAAGUCAUUGUCAUUCAAGGUGUUCAUCAUACUGUUUUCCUCGUCAGAAGUUGUGUCCUCCCCUAAAUUGACUACGACUGCUUGUUGGUUGUCUACCACAUUGUCAAUAAUGUGGUCCAUUUGCUUCAUCUUCUCUUCCUCAUCCUCAACCACUUGUCUUCCUCAUCCUCAACCACAGACUUACUUGUGCUAUGGCCUCUGCAACAUGUUUCUUUAGCUCUUCCAUUUAUAAUGCCCGGUUCGCGGAAGCCACAAAAUGCUUCAUGUCGCUCCACAUCAGCUCUAUGGGAUUGAGCUGGCAGUGAUACGGUGGUAGCCUUAAAAUGAGGUGUCCGGCUGUAGCAGCAAUACAGUCAAUACGAUAUGUGUUGCCAUCUACUUUCACAGUCUGAAUAAGCUUCAUCAGCUCUGCCUUUACCAUAUCGUCACUUCACGGAACCCCCUUUUCUGAAAGCCACGCCUGCAUUUCCCUUUUGAGGUUACUCAUGCGGGGGAC